ACAAAACCUCUCAGCCUCAGUGCUCACUGAAAAUGUGUCAAGAAGAGCCCCUAACUGGGCCCUAUGACUGGAGCUGAAGGGGCAGACUUAAAGAACAGUCUCUUUGAGAUGCAGACACUUUUGGAUUCCAUCCUGUUAGACAAGCUGCACACAACAGAAUGACCAAGGGCGAGACCGAGAGACCAGGGAAACCGCUCAGGUCUGAGAGGCUGCAUCAUGACAAGUCUCUCUCCUUGAUGGCUCGCUGGUGCAGCUCUGCUAGGUGGGGACUGGCUGAUAACCAUACAGACAACAGAUAUGGCGGUGGUAACCAGUCCCUUAGAGAGGCAGAUGCAGAACCCCAUGUGAGACCAGAACCUAAGCCAUUUCUCCAGCUCCUCAGAGGGAAGGACACAGUUGUCUCAGAGAAUCCCUGUGGACUGGAGUCUCACGAGAGCAGACACUCUCCAGUGGAGGCAAACACCAUCUGCCUCAGCAGUCAUGGCUGACAGACCUCAUGAGGGGACCAGCAGAACCCUGAAUUAGCCAGAAGGAUGAGUACUGAAAUGGCCCACUUCAGGAAACAAAGGAGAGUUGUUCUCACUUGUGGGAAGCCCUGAGGAUCAGUGGCAAAACUGUGGACCUCGGUUGUGAGUAAACCCCUAGGUAAUUUCUCUACCUCCGGGGUCGUGGUGAGCUACCCAGAGGGACAUUUCAUUUCAAGAGCUCAGACGUCAUUGCUGUAUGAGGAAUAGCUUGUUCAUCGCUGUUUAUCUUCCGUGUUUUUUUAUUUAUAAAGUCAGAUAAAGUUAUAGGGGGAGAAGCCUGCAUCUAAUGAACACAUCCUCACUUUCUUCCCCUCCCAGCCCCCACCAACAAUAGCAGCACCCGAAUGUCAUUAACCAGAAAGAGAGAUAAGUUCACGUAUAACCUUGCUGUUUUCUGUAACCUAUACAAACAAGGACAAUGGGAGUCAUGCCAAGCUGCUGCCAUUUAAUGUCUGUGGAAUUGUUCUCGGGGACAAAGUGAUUCUUUACAGGUUGAUAAACUGAGCAGUGGCAGUCAUUUGAAGACCCCAGGGAACUUUUGCCCGUGUCCUGUUCCUGUUUGCGUGUGAUUGUGCCGUCUGUUGUAUUCAAUGCUAUGCUGUCCCCCCCCCCCCCCGGGACCCAGAGAGAAAGAGAAAGACCAACCUGCUUGAUGCCUAGGCAAACAGUGGAAGGGAAGCCUACAAUCUGUUGGGCAGAAUCUCCUUCUCUCCUCCCCUGCUGCAUUGCUGCCUCGUUUCGUGUCUUUUUCAAGUUUUCCCCUUCAGGACAGCUCUGUCUUCAAUGUUGUCUUCGGCAAACUACCAAAAUAGAAUUUAUGAUUCAUUGACCCAGAUUAUGUUCCCUCUGACAAUAUCUGCAGAAAUUCUGCUCAACAAUGGCUUGCUGACUUUACAAAAAAAAAAAAAAAAAAAAAAAAAAAGCAUACAUCGCUUCCUGGAAUUCAUCCGCAUCACAAGGCUGACAGAAGAGCAAAUUAAGUGUUAUCUUCUCCGGAGUCCUUGAUGAAGAACACCCUGGUCUUGGCAACUCACUAUGCAUUUUUGACAAGCUUCAUGAAAGAGGAACCAUUAGGGGCUUUCUGUAAAUUGCAGUUAAGUCUGAGGUAUGGUCUGAAUUGCAAGGACACACAUCAGUUGCACAGCUGGAGCAAACAGCUGGGAAGCCUGUCUGGGGAGACAUCUGCCUGAGGUGGCUGGUGAGCCAAGAAUGAGGAGUGGUCACACUUUGCAGCCCAGGCACCUCCUGAGAAUGACAGCCCUCCAGUCAGAUCUAUCCUGAGAGGAACCUAGUGCCUGCCACAGUCCCUUGCAAUGUUGCCUUUGCUGUAAAGAUGAAAAUGAUGGGAAAUAAAUUUUUCCAGAAGAUCUGGUCCAUAUGCUGCUGCCCGCCAUGGCUGGAGUCUCGGAUUCAACCAUUGUGUUGGCUGCCUGCUGCCCAGACUGAGUGGGGUGAACUCAGGACAGAGCCUUGCUUUGGCAUGAAUACCUCUGCCUUCUCUUGCUGACACAUUCCCUCCACCACUCAAGAAUGCACAGAGCCCUUGCCAGGUUGAGAAUGCCUGACUGUGACAGCAGCGUUUGCAAAGUAAAGAGCCUAUUUAUGAAGAUAAUGGCAGUGCCCAGACCAGGCCCACCGUGGGAGAAUCUUGGCUCGUAAUUAGCAAGAACAGUGCAUUUUAAUGAGGAUGCCUGGUAGGCAGUCGGCUCCUGCCUGGACUGCCAACAAAUCUGGGCCAGAGGGAGUGUUGGCAGUGAGGACAAGGAGCAGGUGAGGGGAACAACAUAGAAGAAAAUGUGCUCAUCUUUCGGAAACUUGAAAGCUUUAGGAUGGUUUCAUUUCCCCAUUACCCUGGCUGUCGUCCCUUGGGCUGUUUCUCUGGAAGCAAACAGCUUGGAGAAGAUAUAUCAGAUCUGGUAACUAGCAAUCCCAAACAUUGCUGGAGUGAACAGCAAAGGCCUAGGGGCCUUGGGGUGGAGGCUCAGAAAUGUGGGCAUUUUAUUUUUCCUGAAAGGCAAUUAGGCCAUUGCUAUGAAGCCUGUGGAGAAACUGGAAUCUCAAAGCUUUCUGAAGAGAACAGCUAUGGCUUUUGAAGCUGUGAGCCCUGGUGGAGGUGAUCAUUAUUACCAAGGUUAGCUUAAGUCAGAGCCUUUGAGCUUUGUUGCUGGAGGCUGACAGACUACCGCUGAGGGGUAUGACCUAAGGAAAAUGGGACUUCUCAGCCUCUCUGUUGUUUCAGAGUUCUGGCUCAGGGAGAAUGGGCUUCCCAUUGAACAGGGUGAAUGUUCAUGCAUAGGUGAUUAUAGCAAUUCCAAGAUAGGUGAAGGGACUGUGAUAUGCCGAAUCCUGGGUACCACGAGCGUCUUAGUCAGUGUUCUAUUACUGUAAAGAGACACCAUGACCAUGGCAGCUCUUACAAAAGAAAGCAUUUAAUGAAGGCUGGCUAACAGUUUCAGAAGUUUAGUCCAUUGUUGUCACGAUGGGGAGCAUGGAGGCAUGCAGGUAGACAUGGUGCUGCAGAUGCAGUUGAAAAUUUUACUUCUGGACCCACAGGAAACAGGAAGAGAGAGAUGGAAAACAGGAAGAGAGAGACAGGAAACAGGAAGAGAGACACACACUAGGCCUUGCUUGAGUUUUGAAACCUCAAAAGCCAACCCUAGAAACAUACUUCCUCCAACAAGGCCACACCUCCUAAACCUUCUCAAGUAGUGCCACUUCCUGAUGACUAAGCGUUCAAAUACAUGAGCCUGUAGGAGCCAUUCUUAUUCAAACCACCACAGCAAGAAUUCUCAGGUCAGACGGAUGAAGGCUAUCUUGUUAUAUCUGAUAUAUAAGGGACAAUCAUAGAAGCCCUUAACGAAAAACGAAAGGGAUACUUAUAAUUACAGGUAUCGAGUUGGGUGGUGAACUCAAUUCAGAUAGACCACGGCAGUGGGUUCAGUUCAAUGUUUGCAGGCAAUUUGAAAAAGCAGAGGUGAUCUUUAGAAGUAUUAAUAAAAACCACUAUCAAAG
rnacentral:lncRNA from 1 species